GAUGAACGCUAGCUACAGGCUUAACACAUGCAAGUCGAGGGGAAACGGCAUCGAAAGCUUGCUUUUGAUGGGCGUCGACCGGCGCACGGGUGAGUAACGCGUAUCCAACCUGCCCAUCACUUGGGAAUAACCUUGCGAAAGUAAGACUAAUGCCCAAUGACAUCCCACGAAGGCAUCCGAAUGGGAUUAAGGAUUUAUCGGUGAUGGAUGGGGAUGCGUCUGAUUAGCUUGUUGGCGGGGUGACGGCCCACCAAGGCAACGAUCAGUAGGGGUUCUGAGAGGAAGGUCCCCCACAUUGGAACUGAGACACGGUCCAAACUCCUACGGGAGGCAGCAGUGAGGAAUAUUGGUCAAUGGGCGAGAGCCUGAACCAGCCAAGUAGCGUGCAGGAUGACGGCCCUAUGGGUUGUAAACUGCUUUUAUAAGGGAAUAAAGUGGGUCACGUGUGACUUUUUGCAUGUACCUUAUGAAUAAGGACCGGCUAAUUCCGUG
rnacentral:rRNA from 1 species